GUAACGCGUGAGCAACCUGUCCCGAACAGGGGGAUAACGAGCCGAAAGGCUCACUAAUACCGCAUGAGACCACAGCAUCGCAUGGUGCAGAGGUCAAAGGAGUAAUCCGGUUCGGGGUGGGCUCGCGUCUGAUUAGCCAGUUGGUGAGGUAACGGCUUACCAAAGCAACGAUCAGUAGCCGACCUGAGAGGGUGAUCGGCCACAUUGGAACUGAGAGACGGUCCAAACUCCUACGGGAGGCAGCAGUGGGGGAUAUUGGGCAAUGGGCGAAAGCCUGACCCAGCAACGCCGCGUGAAGGAAGAAGGUUUUCGGAUCGUAAACUUCUAUCCUUGGUGAAGAUAAUGACGGUAGCCAAGAAGGAAGCCCCGGCUAACUACGUGCCAGCAGCCGCGGUAAUACGUAGGGGGCAAGCGUUGUCCGGAAUGAUUGGGCGUAAAGGGCGCGUAGGCGGCCCGGUAAGUCUGAAGUGAAAGUCCUGCUUUUAAGGUGGGAAUUGCUUUGGAUACUGUCGGGCUUGAGUGCAGGAGAGGUAAGCGGAAUUCCCGGUGUAGCGGUGAAAUGCGUAGAGAUCGGGAGGAACACCAGUGGCGAAGGCGGCUUACUGGACUGUAACUGACGCUGAGGCGCGAAAGUGUGGGGAGCAAACAGGAUUAGAUACCCUGGUAGUCCACACUGUAAACGAUGAAUGCUAGGUGUAGGGGGUAUCGACCCCUUCUGUGCCGGAGUAAACACAAUAAGCAUUCCGCCUGGGGAGUACGGCCGCAAGGUUGAACUCAAACGAAUUGACGG
rnacentral:rRNA from 1 species